UCGUGGGACGUGUCGGAAGCUUUUACGGUUUUACCCCCUCCUCCGAUUGACACUUCACACUCGUGGAGAACUCUGAGCCGUCAAGAUGAUAGUUAGAGUGGGACUCACUUUGAGUCAUAGGUCAACGUUCAGCUGCCACGUUACUUAACGUGAUCCAAGAAACAAUAAAUGGAGUUCGUUUGUAGUUCAAAGUUAAAAACAAAUUAUUAAACUUUUAGAAGUAGAGAGACUAGAGUUGUUUUUGUAAAUUUGUGUGUGUGUGUGUGUAUCGUUUUUAAC